CGGCACGGGUGAGUAACACGUAUCCAACCUGCCGUCUACUCUUGGACAGCCUUCUGAAAGGAAGAUUAAUACAAGAUGGCAUCAUGAGUCCGCAUGUUCACAUGAUUAAAGGUGUUCCGGUAGACGAUGGGGAUGCGUUCCAUUAGAUAGUAGGCGGGGUAACGGCCCACCUAGUCUUCGAUGGAUAGGGGUUCUGAGAGGAAGGUCCCCCACAUUGGGACUGAGACACGGCCAA
rnacentral:rRNA from 1 species